AUUCCCGUACCCGUGUAUGCGCGCCCAUGGUGAAUCAGUGAUACUAACCGCCCUGAAUGGUCUGGAGCAUCCUUCGGGAUGACGUGAUCUGGAUGCGCGGGACCUGAACUGGUAGUAGCCAAGCGAUGGGGUGACGCAGGAAGGUAGCUGGGCCAGUCAGUGGUUGUACUGGUGUAAGAGUGUAGGCCGUGACAUAGGCAAAUCCGUGUCACAUUAAGGCUGAGACUUGAUGCAUACCCGUUGUGGGGAAUUCAGUGAUCCUAUGCUGCCGAGAAAAGCCUCUAGUGAGUUCAUACACGGCCCGUACCCCAAACCGACACAGGUGGUCAGGUAGAGAAUACCAAGGCGAUCGAGAGAACUGUGGUUAAGGAACUCGGCAAAAUGUCCCCGUAACUUCGGGAGAAGGGGGACCACGCCCGGUGACGAUCUUCACGGUCUGAGCUGGGGGUGGUCGCAGAGACCAGAGGGAAGCGACUGUUUACUAAAAACACAGGUCCGUGCGAAGACGUAAGUCGAUGUAUACGGACUGACGCCUGCCCGGUGCUGGAAGGUUAAGAGGACCGGUUAGCCGUAAGGCGAAGCUGAGAAUUUAAGCCCCAGUAAACGGCGGUGGUAACUAUAACCAUCCUAAGGUAGCGAAAUUCCUUGUCGGGUAAGUUCCGACCUGCACGAAUGGCGUAACGACUUCUCUGCUGUCUCGACCACAGACUCGGCGAAAUUGCACUACGAGUAAAGAUGCUCGUUACGCGCGGCAGGACGAAAAGACCCCGGGACCUUUACUAUAGCUUGGUAUUGGCGUUUGAUUCGGUUUGUGUAGGAUAGGUGGGAGACUGUGAAGCAUGCACACCAGUGUGUGUGGAGUCGUUGUUGAAAUACCACUCUGAUCGUAUUGACCGUCUAACCUCGGCCCAUGAUCUGGGUUAGGGACAGUGCCUGGUGGGUAGUUUAACUGGGGCGGUUGCCUCCUAAAGAGUAACGGAGGCGCCCAAAGGUUCCCUCAGCCUGGAUGGCAAUCAGGUGUUGAGUGCAAGUGCACAAGGGAGCUUGACUGUGAGACUGACACGUCGAGCAGGGACGAAAGUCGGGACUAGUGAUCCGGCACCGGCAAGUGGAAGCGGUGUCGCUCAACGGAUAAAAGGUACCCCGGGGAUAACAGGCUGAUCUUCCCCAAGAGUCCAUAUCGACGGGAUGGUUUGGCACCUCGAUGUCGGCUCGUCGCAUCCUGGGGCUGGAGUAGGUCCCAAGGGUUGGGCUGUUCGCCCAUUAAAGCGGCACGCGAGCUGGGUUUAGAACGUCGUGAGACAGUUCGGUCUCUAUCCGCCGCGCGCGUAAGAAACUUGAGGAAGGCUGUCCCUAGUACGAGAGGACCGGGACGGACGAACCUCUGGUGUGUCAGUUGUUCCACCAGGAGCAUCGCUGAUUAGCUACGUUCGGAAGGGAUAACCGCUGAAAGCAUCUAAGCGGGAAGCCUGUUCCAAGAUGAGGUUUCUCACCACCUUGCGUGGUUAAGGCCCCCCACAGACCAUGGGGUUGAUAGGCCGGAACUGGAAGCGCAGCAAUGCGUGGAGGUGACCGGUACUAAUCGGCCGAGGGCUC
rnacentral:rRNA from 1 species